rnacentral:rRNA from 1 species
GUUUCAGCCGCCGCGGUAAUACGUAGGGGGCGAGCGUUGUCCGGAUUUACUGGGUGUAAAGGGCGCGUAGGCGGAAUCGUAAGUCAGAGGUGAAAUCCUGCAGCUUAACUGCAGAACUGCCUUUGAUACUGCGAUUCUUGAGUGCGGAAGAGAGAGACGGAAUUCCAGGUGUAGUGGUGAAAUACGUAGAUAUCUGGAAGAACACCAGUUGCGAAGGCGGUCUCUUGGUCCGUAACUGACGCUGAGGCGCGAAAGCGUGGGUAGCAAACAGGAUUAGAAACCCCCGUAGUCC